CCAGAACGAUGUGUGGAUACUUACUUGCAAGCCUGAUUUUCUUAUCUCUUUUCUUUGGAAUCGUUAAAGAUAUUGGCCUUCUGUAUAUGUUGGGAAACUGACUUUUCUUUGUUCCCCAGACAGUUCCUGGAAGUUAUGGCUAGUGCUCUGACUGGUUAUCUUCACACUAUUUCUUCUGAAAACUUAUUGCAUGCAGUAUAUUCAUUUUGCUUGAUGAAUUACUUUCCCCUGGCUCCUUUUAAUCAGCUUCUGCAAAAAGACGUCAUCAGUGAGCUGCUGACAUCAGAUGACAUGAAGAAUGUUUACAAGCUGCAUAUGUUGGAUACUUGUCUAAAACUUGAUGAUACUGUCUAUCUGAAGGACAUAGCCUUGUCACUCCCACAGCUGCCGCGGGAGCUGCCACCGUCACAUCCAAAUGCAAAGGUGGCAGAGGUGCUGAGCAGCCUUCUGGGAGGUGAAGGACACUUCUCAAAGGAUGUGCACUUGCCACACAACUAUCAUAUUGAUUUUGAAAUCAGAAUGGACACUAACAGGAAUCAAGUGCUACCACUUUCUGAUGUGGAUACAACUUCUGCUACAGAUAUUCAAAGAGUAGCUGUGCUAUGUGUUUCUAGAUCUGCUUAUUGUUUGGGUUCAAGCCACCCCAGAGGAUUCCUUGCUAUGAAAAUGCGGCAUUUGAAUGCAAUGGGUUUUCGUGUGAUCUUGGUAAGAAAAAAAUGCAAAUGAAAUAUUCUUUAAUUACUGAUGUACAUUCUAACGGCUGCCAGGAAUCUUGUGGUUGAGACUGGUUACUAGGACUAGAGGAAUUGUCAGCAUGAUUGGAAUGAGUGCUUCAGUUACUG
rnacentral:sRNA from 1 species